UCCAAUGGCACUUGGAAUUGCUCCGUGAAGUUCGUUGGAUGACAAGUAAAGGCCUCCAAGGGAAGUCAAUUUUCCAAUAGCACUUGGAAAUUCUCCUUCAAGAUCGUUUUCUGACAAGUCAAGGCUGUUGAGGGAAGUGAAAUUUCCUAUGGUACUUGGAAUUGUCUCUUGCAAGUUAUUAAAGGCAAGGCGGAGAUGCUCAAGAUGUGUAAAAUCAUGUGACCAAAAGGCCAUGGAAGAAUUGAAAUAAUUUCUAGAUAAAUCAAGUUCUCUAAGGAAAGUUAUAUUUUGAAGAUGAACAGGGACUGAUCCAAAAAAAAGAUUCGAUGAAAGAUCAAGAGAACUCAACUUUGUGAUUUGAAAAAUCCAAUUGGACACAGAAGAUUCAUCAAAAUUGUUCAUUGACAAAUCAAGAACAGAAAGUGAUGAAAAAUUGACGUUGGGAAGUGGAGGCGCCUUAUGAUUUAGUGAACUGCCUGACAAGUGUAACUCUACCAGAGAGGGGAGUUUGUUCAUCGCAUCCAACCAAUCCAAGGCUUUACUAAGAUUCACAGAACUCAAGUCAAGGAAUUCUAAUGAUGAGAGACUAGAGAGCCAGUGUAAACUCACAACAUAUUUCUCAUAAUCAUAACUAGAAAUAGUGAGAUGCUGUAAAUUUGAAAGAUUUCCGAGUUGAUGAGGAAUCAUUCCUCCAAA
rnacentral:misc_RNA from 1 species